rnacentral:rRNA from 1 species
GUGAACGCUGGCGGUAGGCCUAACACAUGCAAGUCGAACGGCAGCACAGUAAGAGCUUGCUCUUACGGGUGGCGAGUGGCGGACGGGUGAGGAAUACAUCGGAAUCUACUUUUUCGUGGGGGAUAACGUAGGGAAACUUACGCUAAUACCGCAUACGGCCUACGGGUGAAAGCAGGGGAUCUUCGGACCUUGCGCGAUUGAAUGAGCCGAUGUCGGAUUAGCUAGUUGGCGGGGUAAAGGCCCACCAAGGCGACGAUCCGUAGCUGGUCUGAGAGGAUGAUCAGCCACACUGGAACUGAGACACGGUCCAGACUCCUACGGGAGGCAGCAGUGGGGAAUAUUGGACAAAGGGCGCAAGCCUGAUCCAGCCAUACCGCGUGGGUGAAGAAGGCCUUCGGGUUGUAAAGCCCUUUUGUUGGGAAAGAAAAGCAGCAGGUUAAUACCCCGCUGUUCUGACGGUACCCAAAGAAUAAGCACCGGCUAACUUCGUG